CAUCAUGCUACUGGACAAGGAAAAUCCUUUUGUGCAUUCCAUGUUCUUUACAAUAUACUACAGUCUUCAAUCUCAUGGCCUGCUAUGGAUGAGAACACGCAUUGAAUACAUGUAACUUACAAAUUCAUUUCAGAGAGAAUCUUCCCCAGUUUUUUUCUAAUGAUAAUUUUCUCUUGUAGAUAACUUACCUUUAGCAAUUUGACAGGAGAAAUUCCAAGCAGCUUUUCAAGACUCUCAGCGCUAGAUUAUAUGCUAAAAGAAAAGAAUGGCUGAUUGAGAAGCUGAGGAAGUUUGAGGUCCCCAAAGCUCCAAAAUAUAUUUUCCUAUCAUUUGUCUAAUGGGACAUGCACCAAUACACUCUGCCAACACUCUUAUGUAACCUGUCUUGCUGCAGCAGAAAAAAAAUGUAAUUUCUGUCUCAAAAUCUUCAAGCAAAUUUCAUUUAUUUUUUUAUAUUAGUUUCAUUUGAUAGCA